GUGAAUCAUCGAAUCUUUGAACGCACAUUGCGCCCGCCAGUAUUCUGGCGGGCAUGCCUGUCUGAGCGUCAUUUCAACCCUCAUGCCCCUAGGGCGUGGUGUUGGGGAUCGGCCAAAGCCCGCGAGGGACGGCCGGCCCCUAAAUCUAGUGGCGGACCCGUCGUGGCCUCCCCUGCGAAGUAGUGAUAUUCCGCAUCGGAGAGCGACGAGCCCCUGCCGUUAAACCCCCAACUUUCCAAGGUUGACCUCAGAUCAGGUAGGAAUACCCGCUGAACUUAAGCAUAUCAAUAAGCGGAGGA
rnacentral:misc_RNA from 1 species